GCCCGAAGAAGCUGGUCCUUAGCCUGCGCUGCGGAGCAACCUUUCAGUGGCCAGCUGGAGCCUGGGCACCGUUCUUCAAAUAAUGGCUUUUAAUUCUCAGACGAGAACGUUUAGGAUUACAAAAGAAACCGGUUCUCUUCACAUCCUUAUCCUUGUCAUGUAGCAUUCCGCUUGAAAUUGGAAGCCGUUCAAUGUCAGAGAGAAACCAUAUUUAUGAAAUGAAAGAGGCUUCUCAGAUGACUGCAAACCAGCCUUCCUUACUGGUUUUAUCACUGCGCCCGCCUGGCAGGACGACUGAGCAAGGCUUUGGAAAACCAGAGAGAUUAGAGCGCAGAAUGGGGAAAUGGAGAGAGAACCUGAAAGAGCCCCAAACUCGAGGACCUAUUGCUCCCCAAGAAUAACAUCUUCCAGAACUAGACAGAAACUAAGCGUCUGGAAACCCUGAAAUCCUUGGAGGAGUAGCAUCAUCCUGACCCUCUGUGCUCCUUUUGGCAAAGGACUUGCUUCCAUUGUUUGUUUGUUCAAUUGUCUGUUUGUUAAAUAAAUAAAACUCUUUUCAUAUAUCUUUAAAAGUACGUUGGUUCUAUUAUUUUAUGAUUACAAACAAUGCUGCAGUCAUCAUUCUUCUACACUUGUCAUUGGCCACUGGUAUAUUUCCAUAGGGUGGAGGCCUGGAGAGCAGUUGUUCCAGCAUAGUGCUU
rnacentral:lncRNA from 1 species